UGGAAAUAAAAUAACAGUAUAAGCUAUCCUAUUUAAAAUACACAUUCCAUGUAGGAUGUGAAAUAAUGUCCCCAAAUUCCUCAGCAAAAAUGCCUAAAAUGUUAUGCACACUAAAUCGCCAUUCAACUAUGAAGGAUAUAUGUAUAUAUAAUUAAAGGAAUGAAAUUUCCACAGACUCUUUUUAAAGAAAACUGUUCCUCAGCCAAAAAGGAGAAAGCAGUGAUGAAAGGACUGUUAGCCAUCAUUGAAUUCAUGUCCUGAAGGGGAGAGAUGGAAACAAAUAAAUGAAUUAUUCUUAUUGAACACGAUUUAAAUGCCUUCUAUGAUGACAAUGUAAAAAUAAUAUAACUAAUAAAGAAAGUGAGAGAAAGGAGGAAUUAGGAGAGGUGUGGUAUAUGAGUAGAGUUCCUCCAUUCUUUAUAGCCAGGGAUUAAACAAUAUGAUUUACAAUUGAUACAUCAAAUAGCCAAGCUAUAAAUAUGCUUGGAGAUACAAAGUAAAUACUGGAACAACAAAGAAUAAUACAAAAUUGAAUAGUGAAAAAGUGAGAAAAGAUGUGGGAAGAAGUGGAAGUAUGCAAAUUUUAUCAUUGUUCACAGUUAAAAACCAAUAAAUAUGCCAAACUAUUCCUGGGCACCCUCAUUCUGCUCCAACUUCCUAGCUACAGUAAAAAUCAAAUCCAAGUUUGCUCCUGCCAGCCAGUCAGACCAGCUUGAACUUGCCUUACUCUCCCAGAAAGUCCAGUUGUAUUCUUCAUUGUCCAUCUUUAUUAAUGAGGACUUAGAAUGAAUACUAUUGACAGAUGGACCUCUACCCAAAGAAGUCUACAGAUUCAAUGCAAUCUCUCUAAAAAUAGCAAUGACAUUCUUCACAUACACACAAACAUCUUAAAAUUUGUAUGGAACCACAAAAGACUCCAAAGAGCCAAAACAAUCCUGAACAAAAAAGAACAAAGUGGAAGGCAUCAAUUAUAUUACCAGACUUCAAAAUAUACCACAAAGCUAGAGAAGCUAAAACAGUAUGAUCCUAGCAUAAAAAGCAGACACAUGGACCACUGAGAGAAACUAGAGAUGCUAGAAAUUAAUCUACAUAUCUGCAAUCAACUGAUAUUUGAGAAGGCACAAAGAAUACUAAUUGGAGAAAGGAAGUCUCUUCAGCAAAUGAUGGUGGGUAAACUGGAUAUCCAUAUCAGAAGAAUGAAGCUAGACCUCCACCUCCCAUACUAUGCAAAAAUCAACUCAAAAUGGAUUAAAUAGCUAAGUUUAAGAUUUGAAACCAUAACACUACUAUAAGAAAACAUAGAGGAAACAUUUCUGGACAUUGGUCUGAGGAAACUUUUAUGAAUAACACCUCAAAAGCACAGGCAAUGAAAGCAAAAAUAAACAGUUGGGACUCUCAUCAAACUACACACCUUCUGCACAGCAAAGAAAACAACAGAGUAAUAGGGGACCUAAAGAAUGAAAGAAAAUGAGACUUCUGCUAAGAUAUCCAAUAGGAACAGCUCCAGAGUGCAGUUCCCAGUUAGAGUGAUGCAGAAGGUGAGUGAUCUCUGCAUUUCCAAUCAAGAUACCAGGUUCAUCUCAAUGGGACUGGUUGGACAGUGGGUGUAGCAGGGAGGGCAAACCGAGGCAGGGUGGGGUGGUGCCAUACCCAGGAAGUACAAGAGACGCGAGAAUUCCCCCUCCUACACAAGGAGGCUAUCGGGGGCUUUCCCAGGCACUACGGCACUCCAGCUCAGAUGCUACACUUUUCCCACAAUCUUUACAGCCCAGAGACCAGGAGAUUUCUGCUAGUGCCACCAGUGUGGUAGGUUUCCAGCACAAAACCAGGUGGCUGUUGUAGGUUUCCAGCACAAAACCAGGUGGCUGUUUUAGCCAGCACUGUGGUCUAGCACAAAACUGAGUGGCCCAUUUAGCUGGUGCCUGGAAUACCUGCGUGACAGAACCGCUCUUUCCCCUGAAAAAAAAAGGGGGAACUGAGGCAGGGAACCAAGUGAUCUGGCUCGGCAAGUCCCAUCCCCACAAAGGCCAGCAAACUGAGUCACACUGGCUUGAUAUUUUUGCAGCCAGCACAGCAGUUUGAGCUUGACCUGGGAUGGUCAAGCUCAGAGGGAGAGGGGCAUCUGCUAUUAGUGAGGCAGUUCUAACCUUGCUUGUGUAAACAAAAGUGCAAGGAAGUUACACAGCAGCUGGAUGGAGCCUACAGCAGCUCAGCAAGGCCUUUGCAGGCAGACUGUGACUAGACUCCCUCCUUGCUGGGCAGGGCAUCUCUGAAAAAAGGCAGCAGCCCAUCAGGGACUUAUACGUCAAGCCCCACCUUUCCAGGUCAGAGUACCUGGGAAAAAGGGUCAUUGUGAGUCCCACUUCAGCAGACUUAAACAUCCCUGCUCAGCAGCUCUGAAGGGAGCAACGGAGCUCUCAGCACAGCAAUUGAGCUCUGAAAAGGGACAGACUGCCACCUCAAAUGGUUCCCUGAUCCCUGUAUAUCCUAAAAGACAGCCCAUACAGAAGAGCUGUGGUUGACAUCUGGCAGGUACCCUUCUGGUACGAAGCUACCAGAGGAAGGAGCAGGCAGCAAUCCUUGCUUUUCUGCAGCCCCUGUGUGUAAUUCCCAGGCACACAGGGUCUGAAGUAGACCUCCAGUAGUCCUGCAGCAGAGGGGCCUGACUGUUAGAAGGAAACAUAAAACACAAAAAGAAACAGCUUCAACAUCAGCAGAAAGGAUGUCCACUAAGAGACCCCAUUCAAAAGUCACCAAUUUCAAAGACAAA
rnacentral:lncRNA from 1 species